rnacentral:rRNA from 1 species
GACGAACGCUGGCGGCGUGCUUAACACAUGCAAGUCGAACGGAGUGGCGAACGGGUGGGUAACACGUGGGUGAUCUGCCUUGCACUCUGGGAUAAGCUUGGGAAACUGGGUUUAAUACCGGAUAGUGCAAGAUGAGUGCGCGGCCUAUCAGCUUGUUGGUGGGGUAAUGGACUACCAAGGCGUCGACGGGUAGCCGGCCUGAGAGGGUGUACGGCGACAUUGGGACUGAGAGACGGCACAGACUCCUACGGGAGGCAGAAGUGGGGAAUAUUGCACAAUGAGCGGAAGCCUGAUGAAGCGACGCCGCGUGGGGGAUGACGGCCAUCGGGUUGUAAACUCCUUUCGACAGGGACGCGGUACCUAUAUAAGAAGCACCGGCUAACUACGUGCCAGCAGCCGCGGUAAUAC